AUUUGGUUUCUGGUAUGUGUAUCUCUGUAAAUAUUUCUAGUUAUUCUAAAGUUAUCUCUGUAAUUUACAGGUUAUCGCUGUCAUUUGGUUUCUGGUAUGUGUAUCUCUGUAAAUAUUUCUAGUUAUUCUAAAGUUAUCUCUGUAAUUUACAGGUUAUCGCUGUCAUUUGGUUUCUGGUAUGUGUAUCUCUGUAAAUAUUUCUAGUUAUUCUAAAGUUAUCUCUGUAAUUUACAGGUUAUCGCUGUCAUUUGGUUUCUGGUAUGUGUAUCUCUGUAAAUAUUUCUAGUUAUUCUAAAGUUAUCUCUGUAAUUUACAGGUUAUCGCUGUCAUUUGGUUUCUGGUAUGUGUAUCUCUGUAAAUAUUUCUAGUUAUUCUAAAGUUAUCUCUGUAAUUUA